UGUGUAUUGGAAGGGGUUUAGGAGAAAUGUACCUACGGAAGAAUGUUAAUGCCAUGAGUUUGGGCUAGGUUGUGGCUUUACUCAUUGUGUGGUGAAAGUUCCUGGGCAUUGGCCACAGUAGCUGUGUGUUAACCCAUUCAUAGAAGCAAACUACCUUUAGCGCCUAUUGUAUCAACGUCAACAAAACAAAGGAGAUGAUUGUGGACUUCAAGAAACAGCAGAGGGAGCACCCCCCUAUCCACAUCGACGGGACAGUAGUGGAGAGGGUAGUACGUUUUAAGUUCCUCGGUGUACACAUCACGGACAAACUGAAUUGGUCCACCCACACAGACAGCAUUGUGAAGAAGGCGCAGAAGAAAUUCUGCUUGUCACCAAAAGCACUCACAAACUUUUACAGAAAGAGAGCAUCCUGUCGGGCUGUAUCAACGCCUGGUACGGAAACUGCUCCGCCCACAACCAUAAGGCUCUCCAGAGGGUAGUGAGGUCUGCACAACGCAUCACUGGGGACAAACUACCUGCCCUCCAGGACACCUACACCACCUGAUGUCAAAGGAAGGCCAUAAAGAUCAUCAAGGGCAAGAACCACCCAAGCCACUGCCUGUUCACCCCACUAUCAUCCAGAAGGCGAGGUCAGUACAGGUGCAUCAAAGCAGGGACCGAGAGACUGAAAAACAGCUUCUAUCUCAAGGCCAUCAGACUGUUAAACAGCCACCACUAACAUUGAGUGGCUGCUGCCAACAUACUGACUCAACUCCAGCCACUUUAAUAAUGGAAAUUGAUGUAAAAAAAAAAAUGUAUCACUAGCCACUUUAAACAAUGCCACUUAAUAUAAUGUUUACAUACCCUACAUUACUCAUCUCAUAUUUAUAUACUGUACUCGAUACCAUCGACUGCAUCUUGCCUAUGCCGUUCUGUACCAUCAUUCAUUCAUAUACCUUUAUGUACAUAUUCUUUAUCCCUUUACACGUGUGUGUAUAAGGUAGCAGUUGUGGAAUUGUUAGGUUAAAUUACUCGUUGGUUACUACUGCAUUGUCGGAACUAGAAGCACAAGCAUUUUGCUACACUCGCAUUAACAUUUGCUAACCAUGUGUAUGUGACAAAUAACAUUUGAUUUAUUGAAGAUUUUAAUCUUCUGGCCAGGGGAGUUUUGUUAAGAGCCCCGACGACGUUCGUUCUGAAUGUUAAAAUUCAUCGCUUGCAGUAUGGUUUUGGAAACAUAAGGAACGUUUCUUCCAUAUCAGCAAGAAGAAAAAAAUGGUUAAAUUAGUACACACCUUUUAUAGGUUUAGUGUUCCCACGUGGCCAUAUCUCCAUGUUACAGCUCUUGUUUACGGAAUACAGACAGAAGACAGGAGACCUGUUCGUAUUAGCUAUCGUGCGAACACCUGUGUGUAAGCGGUUCGUCAAUUUGAGGCACACACAGCAUAUGAAUCUGUGUAAAACUGUUACAGUGCAGGGUCAGCCUCUGAUGGUGCAGGUCAGCGGUGGUCAGCUCAUCACCUCAUCGGGCCAGCCCAUUAUGGUCAUGGGGGGGCAGGGAGGGCAGGGGCAGACCAUCAUGCAGGUGCCCAUGUCUGGAGCUCAGGGGCUCCAACAGAUCCAGCUGGUGCAGCCAGGUCAGAUCCAGCUCCAGGGGGGACAGACUCUACAGGUACAGGGUCAGCAAGGCCAGACCCAGCAGUUCAUCAUUCAGCAGCCCCAAACUGCUGUGACCGCAGGACAAAACCAGGGCCAGCAGCAGAUUACAUUACAGCCGGGGCAGCAAGUGGCUCAGACUGCAGACGGCCAGACCAUUGUGUACCAGCCAGUCAAUGCUGAUGGGUCCAUUCUACAGCAAGGUAUGAUUACCAUCCCUGCCUCUAGUCUGGCUGGUGCUCAGAUUGUUCAGGCAGGCAACAGCACCAACACAACAAACAGUAGUCAGGGUACAGUGACCGUCACACUGCCUGGCAACAUGGUCAACGCAGGUGGCAUGGUCAUGAUGGUUCCGGGUGGCGGUGGCAGUGUUCCCACCAUGCAGCGUAUCCCCCUGCCGGGAGCGGAGAUGCUGGAGGAGGAGCCUCUGUAUGUCAACGCUAAGCAGUACCACCGCAUCCUGAAGAGACGGCAGGCCCGCGCCAAGCUGGAGGCAGAGGGAAAGAUCCCCAAGGAGAGGAGGAAAUACCUGCACGAGUCUCGUCACAAGCACGCCAUGGCGAGGAAGAGGGGUGAUGGCGGACGCUUUUUCUCGCCGAAGGAGAGGGAGGAGAUGGCUCUGGCCAUGCAGGUGAGGAGGGCUCAGGGUGCCCUCAAACAAGAGGACGUGUUUGGAGGUGUUGAACUCAACUCUAAUUGGCAACCUACUUCUGUUGCCUCCCUCAGCUAACCAACAAGUAGCAGCCAUUUCCACCCCUCACUCUGUCACAUGUCCACCGCAGCCACUCAUUUCCCCUGCACUCUUAAAAUGGUCAUCAUUGCUAUCUUUGUAUGUUUUUAUUAGAUUGGUUACCUUGUAGUUUUGUAUCAAAGAAUAGUAUAGUUUUUUACAAGUUAUGUUUUUUUUGUACUUGCUUGUUUUUUGAGUAUAUAGACAGGGGUGCUUUUAGAUGCGGGCAUAUUUUUUUGUGUACCUUCUGUUUUUCUUUUGAUGUAUUCCAGCCACUUGAUCCCUAACCAUGUCUCUGGCAAACCACACUGAGUUCAAAAGCUCGUUCUUUCACAUAGAGCUGUACAUACUGACCACAGGAGGCUGCUGAGGGGAGAACACCUCAUAAUAAUGUCCAGAACAGAAACAGAGCAGAUGGAAUGGCAUCAAACACCUGGAAACCAUGUGUUUUGAUGUAUUUGUUACCAUUCCAAUUAUUCUGCUCCGGUCAUUAUCACGAGCCCAUCCGCCCCAUUUAAGGUGCCACCAACCUCCUUUGAUACUGACUCAGUAAAAUGUUCUCCAAUGUCGUUUGAAAUGUGUCUUGGCUUCGUUUGAGCUCUUGUUGUAAGCUGAAGAAUGUUGGAAUGUUAAUGUUGCUUCCUUGCUGUUGUGUUUCCUUGUUAAACUUGUACCAUGUUGUAGUGUAAACAUCUCUGCUAACACCUGUGUUCAUUUAACAGCUGCAGGGCUAGGAUGGGAGUGGUGUAAAGGUACAGGCGGCCCAACCACAUGCUAGAGAAGAGGCAGUCGGGCAGGUGAUCUGUGUGUCAUAACCUCUAGAAGACCUGUGAGGUGUGUGUGUGCUCAUGUGUUUGUCUCUGUGAGAAUGGUUGCGGAGGAGUUGAGAUCAGAUGUCCCACACACCAAUCAACCAGUGCUUUCCAACCAGUCCCAAGUCCCCUGUCUGGUAGAGAGCAGGACAGACUGGGUGAAGAGAUUGCUAGCACACAGAGAUACUGCACAUACAGAUAUACUGUAACCAUGGUAACACUGGAGAACAAUUGGGCCUUCUGGAGGGAAUGUCUUUUAAGAAACAGCACAAGUUCUACAAGAAAGUUUCUUCCAAAGCAACCUUGACUUGUUUCAUGUCAGUUACUUUUAUCUCUGGAUGUGCCACAAGAACUUGAUCAAUAAACACACCAUCCUAUAGGCCACAAGUCCAAAGUGGUUAUGAUAGCCUUCUUCCUUUCCUGAUGCUCUUCAGAAAUAUUAAAUAGUUUUUCUUUUGUAAAGAUAAGUUGUGUCCUCUGGUUCAUGAUAAUAUGCAACUAUCAUCACUUAUUUUAAGGCUUUCAGACUUUUAAAAAAUGAUUUCCUGGUUAUUCUAUUUGAAAGGAGCAAUAAUCAAAUGCCUAAUUACCUGCAUCAGUUUUUUAUAUUGUGUUGUAACAGUCUUGUAAGAGUGUAGAUACUUUUAAAAAGCGUUUUAGCAAUUAUUUUAUUGCAUAAAUAAAAGGAAACAUCAAAUGUU